GAAAAGCUCAAAUUUAAAAUCUGGCGGUCUUUGGCUGUCCGAGUUGUAAUCUAGAGAAGUGUUGCCUGCAUUGGACCGUGUACAAGUCUUCUGGAAUGAAGCGUCAUAGAGGGUGAGAAUCCCGUCUUUGACACGGACUCCCAAUGUAUUGUGGCAUGCUCUCAAAGAGUCGAGUUGUUUGGGAAUGCAGCUCUAAAUGGGUGGUAACCUCCAUCUAAAGCUAAAUAUUGGCAAGAGACCGAUAGCGAACAAGUACCGUGAGGGAAAGAUGAAAAGAACUUUGGAAAGAGAGUUAAACAGUACGUGAAAUUGUUGAAAGGGAAACGCUUGAAGUCAGUCACAUUUGCCAGGGAUCAGCCUAGCUCUUUUGCUUGGUGUACUUCCUGGUUGAUGGGCCAAUGUCAGUUUUGACUGCCAGACAAGGGCAGAGGGAAUGUGGCACCUCCGGGUGUGUUAUAGCCUUCUGUCAUAUAUGUCAGUUGGGACUGAGGAAUGCAGCAUGCCGCAAGGCCAGGUCAUUUUGACCAUGUUCAUGCUUUGGAUGUUGGCAUAAUGGCUUUAAUCGACCCGUCUUGAAACACGGACCAAGGAGUCUAACAUGCCUGCGAGUGUUUGGGUGGAAAACCCGGGCGCAUAAUGAAAGUAAAAGUUGAGAUCCCUGUCGUAGGGGAGCAUCGACGCCCGGACCUGAGCUUUUAGCAAUGGAUCUGCGGUAGAGCAUGUAUGUUGGGACCCGAAAGAUGGUGAACUAUGCCUGAAUAGGGCGAAGCCAGAGGAAACUCUGGUGGAGGCUCGUAGCGAUUCUGACGUGCAAAUCGAUCGUCGAAUUUGGGUAUAGGGG
rnacentral:rRNA from 1 species